rnacentral:misc_RNA from 1 species
AAGUCGUAACAAGGUUUCCGUAGGUGAACCUGCGGAAGGAUCAUUAUCGUACAACUGAGGUGCAAGGGCUGUCGCUGACCUUCAAGGGUCGUGCACGCCCAAGCCCCUCUCACACAUCCAUCUCACCCCUUUGUGCAUCACCGCGUGGGCCCCCCUUUGCAGGAGGGCUUGCGUUUUCACAUAAAACUUGAUACAGUGUAGAAUGUUUUUUCUUUUCUUUUGCGGUCACACGCAAUCAAUACAACUUUCAACAACGGAUCUCUUGGCUCUC